AUGAGGAAAACAAGAAGGAAAGAUGGAACUUGUCUAUUAGGCAUUCACUGACUGCCACAGAAAGCUGCAAGACCGGAACUUGGCUGAUUGAGAAAUCAGCAGUCUUUCAGCCGUGUACUCGGGCAUAAAGGCUAUCAAACUUUCUGCAUUCCAGAAUUUUGGGGGGUGAAAUGGAAGAUGCAAUGCCAGGAGCAUUCAGUCUGUGCGCCAGCCCGCGCACAGGGCUCACUGCGAUGCGUUUACAGAAAUGAAAGCCACAACAACAGGUUUAGCUUUGCUCAUUUCAACCUGUUCUAAAAUAGCCCGUUCUGUUCUCCGCUGUUUGCUGGCGGGUGGGUGGUGCAGCUCAGCGAUGUGCUGCAACCACUGCAGGGGCUGCAGGGAGCACUGCCGCCAUCUGCGAUGUGGAUCAGACCACCCUGCCAUGCUUGUGGCUUGGGCCCAGCUCCCGUCCUUCACUGCGGGGCAGGAGGGUCAUUACAUGGUGCAGUGUUUGCAGACCCUCCUGCUGAAACGGAGGGGUUGAACCUGUAAUUGGCGCUGGCCCUACACAGGCAUGGGGCACAAGGCAGGAAGAGCUAUGUGGUGUCGGAAACGGGAGGGCAAGGGGCUCACUGCCCCUGCUGGAGACUGUGGCUGGGAUGUCCUGUUCAGGGCAUCAUCCACACCUGCAUGUCCUUGUAGCAUCAGCAGCGCCAGCAGUGCCUUCCUGGUGCUUUUCCAUGGAUCCAGUUCUUGUGUCCCUUCUGGGUGAUGGGUUGUGCUCUGCAGCAGCAGCAUGAGGAAGGAAAGUGUGAUUGGUGAGAUGGGGCCACGGCUGCACUUUAAAGGCUUUGAUAGCAAUCACCGUGAGCAGAUGAGGAAGCAUUACAGCAAGCUGCGCACUGAGCCUGGACCAUGCAGCCUCUCCAGUGUGCUCACCUGCUCCUCCUGCUUGCCCUGCUUGCCUUCUGCUUGCCCUCAGGCUGGGCGGAGGACAACAGCACCAUGACAAAUGGGGCACCAGACCAGAGCCCGCCCUGCGGCAGCCCGGCCCUCCUGUCCCUCGCACUGGGGCUGGCUGCGUUCCUCCUGCGGCUGUGCUGAGCUGGGCCCGAAGACCCCUGCAGGCCGGCAUCCCCCUGCUCCGGAUCUCCGCCGCCAGGCCCAGCCAGCUCCUGUCCCCGUGUUCCCGCAGCGCUUCCCUAUGGCCGCAGCCUCCAGGAGGACCAACUCCAAGCACAGCCUCCGCAGUUGUGCUGUGAAGCUCUGAGAAAUAAAGUACGAGGCUCUAACGCGUUUGUUCUAGUGCUGUUACGGGCUGGCAUUGGGGGGCGCUCGCUGAGGGGAGGACGAGGCCCGCUCGCGCCUCUGGGGCGGCCGCAGCCGCGCGCUGACCGCCGAGCUGAAGCAGUACGAGGGCACAGCGCCCCCAGCAGGACGGGCAGACCCAAUGCACCGCCCUCGACCCAGCGCUGGCCAAUCACAGGCGGUCUUCGCCGAGCGGACCAAUCAACGAGCUCAAAUCAGCUCUGUACCAAUCUGAAGCUGCCAAUUGCGAGUUCUGGCCUAUCCCGGCUCGGCGGGGUCUAUAUAAGGGCGGGAUGAGGGCGCUGGUGUUGCUCUGCGGCGCGAUGCUGCAGGCGGGGUUGGUUUGGUGCAGCUGCGUGCUCGCUGCGGGUCGCCCCACACGAGGGGGCUGAGCCGCACCGGCAGCAUC
ensembl:lncRNA